rfam:Ahrensia sp. LZD062 contig21, whole genome shotgun sequence.
CCUGGUGGUUAUGGCGGGGUCGCUGCACCCGUUCCCAUUCCGAACACGGCCGUGAAAUGCCCCAGCGCCGAUGGUACUUUGUCUUAAGGCACGGGAGAGUAGGUCGCUGCCAGGU